GUGUCAGCAGCCGCGGUAAUACGUAGGUGGCAAGCGUUAUCCGGAUUCACUGGGCGUAAAGCGCGUGCAGGCGGUUCCGUAAGUCGGACGUGAAAGCUUCUGGCUUAACUGGGAGAGGUCGUUCGAUACUGCGGGACUUGAGGUUGGGAGAGGGACGUGGAAUUCCCGGUGUAGUGGUGGAAUGCGUAGAGAUCGGGAGGAACACCAGUGGCGAAGGCGGCGUCCUGGCCCACACCUGACGCUGAGACGCGAAAGCGUGGGGAGCGAACGGGAUUAGAAACCCGUGUAGUCC
rnacentral:rRNA from 1 species